CUAUCGACAAAGUGUUCAUCGAUGGAUGAAUUUUUUGAAAAGGGGGUGAAAAUUUUGCUCGAAUCACCCCAAAAUGAGAGUGUGUGCGUGGCUCGCUGUAUCGCGAUAGAGUUCGACGUGUGUCGAAUGAAUGUUCAAAAUGGUCAUAGUAGGCUAAAAACCUGUCUUUCUGUUUUUGCUCGGUCGCUGUACAUUUUCAUACGGGAAUAGUUCGUGAAUUGUGGAUUGCGUCAGUUCGUGGACUGUGUAUUCGUUUGUGGAAUAGUGUUUGCCAAGUUGUUCCAGUUCUAGUUCUAAAAGGAUGUUCCUGUGCCGGCACUGGUAAGUUGUACCGCCAGCGUGAUGACCUGAUGGCGCAGACUUCGGCUGAAUACGACGAUGAAGAGGCAGGACAAGCUGUUUCAAGACAUUUGAAAAGCGACGCGUGGGGACAUAUGGCCACAGUUGCCGGUCCUCAUAUCUAGAGGUUUUUGUGUACAAAAAUUCAGGAAGCAAGAAGGAGCUCGAAGCUAGAUUCAAGUACCGUAGUGUGAAAUACUUCGUCAACAGUUUUCUUACAACUGCGCCCACGCGUCCCUUUGGCCUACUGCUUCAAAGGUAGGCUACCCUGUACAAUCAAUGCCAUGGCGUCUAACGGAAUCGGUUGAACGUGAAACUUCUUCUUCUUAUUUCAGUUGACAUUCAUACUUCUUGAUGGUUGCUCUCGGAUAGAGCGUACGAAUCGUUAGAAACAUCUUUUCCGCGUCAUUUGAAAGGAACAAAUUAUUGGACAUGCUCGUGAUUAUCCAGUUCUAUGAUGCACCUGCCAAUGGAAGUGAAAGACAAGCCAACCUUAGUAUUGGUUGUUUUUGCUGCUGAUCGGUUCUAAAUCGGAUAGUGGAAACCGCUUUUGUUAGCACUCUACAUAGGCGCUGGAUUGGAUUUUUCUUCGCUCUGCUCACAAUGUUCUAUCGCCUUCUCUGAGACAAUGUUCUAUCGCCACCUAGCACCUCUACAAACCGUGACCGAUAAAGCUUGUCGUUGAUCCUCCGUGCAGGAUAACAUACUCCGCCAAAGUUGAAGGUCGGUAGAAUCAUAAACUAACUCAAGAAUCACCGUUCGAUACGAGUUUCCUGCUGAUUUGAACUUUGUAUUUGUUGAUACAAAAUGGAGUGAAAUAUGCGAAAAAUCGUGUGUUAAUGCGAUCAAAAUUAAAUCGAGAUCGCAUACGAUGCCAAACUCAAAGACACGAUGUUAGUUUGUUUCGAAACACGCUAAAAAUUCCAUUGAAAGUUUUCGCCUGGACCUUUGAUUGAUACAGGAUAUGAAUCUCUUCGAAACUUUAUCUUGGAAGGGAGCAAAUGUCCUUGUUUAUUUUAUGUUUACGUUGCACCGAUCGAAACUGGCCGCGUGAUAAUGAAAAACGAUAACAAAUCGUGGGCGGUAUCAUGUGGAACAGGAUUAGAAAUCCCUGGCUAAGCUGGCGCAGAGUACGAGCGUUGAAAAUUGUCCGCUGCCUGGAUGGAAUGGUAUGGUAUGAACUAUGCAGAUAAUAAGAAUAGAAAAAAAAGUAUGAAGCGUAAGAUGAAAAAUAUUGUUACGGGUCUAAAUCAGUACAUGUGAAUUGUUAUCUUUUUACGCUUGCCAUAAAACCAGGAAAAAUAAAAAAAUAAUAUUAUAUUUGUUAAAAACAAAAAAUGUUUUCAUUGCACCGGUGCAUCAACGGUGCGGAAAGAACGAUUGAGAAUGAACAUUACAGAGUAAAAAUGAACCUUACGAAAACGCGCUCAUGAAAUCAUGAAUCUCACGCACACACUCUCAAAAAACGGCUUCACAAGAUCUGCUGUGAAGCUUUUGUGAAGCCGCUUGUGAAGCCGUGAAUUUUACUCGAAAUUCACUCUCAGGCGAGCAGUUUGUCGAUAGGGAU